AAGAUUGUACUUUCAGGAACCAUUUCUAUAGUUCAUUGCUAGAGAAGUUUCUCAUGACUGUAUAGAGCACCCGAGACCAUGGGGACUGGACAUAGCAUUAUCUUCUGAGCAUGAAGCCAACUCUAGGUGCUGAUUUUCUGCAGCUGCUUCUUGCCACUGAUGGCUGUUCUUCUCUCCCUUUGGGAGAGGAAGGUAAUGCAGUUUGAGUGGA